rnacentral:rRNA from 1 species
UACGUAGGGUGCGAGCGUUGUCCGGAAUUAUUGGGCGUAAAGAGCUCGUAGGCGGUUUGUCGCGUCGGCCGUGAAAACUUGGGGCUUAACUCCAAGCUUGCGGUCGAUACGGGCAGACUUGAGUUCGGCAGGGGAGACUGGAAUUCCUGGUGUAGCGGUGAAAUGCGCAGAUAUCAGGAGGAACACCGGUGGCGAAGGCGGGUCUCUGGGCCGUAACUGACGCUGAGGCGCGAAAGCCAGGGGAGCGAACGGG